AAACCUUUUCCACUCCUUACGGGGGAGACAGUCAUGAGACGUGAGUAUAAGACCUGAGUGUAAAGACCUUAGGGUGAAGCAAUUGGAGGGCAAGCUUUGGUGCCAGCAGCCGCGGUAACUCCAACUCCAAGAGUGUCUAUGGUGGAUGCUGCAGUUAAAGGGUCCGUAGUCGUGAAUGCAAUUAAAUGUCGUUGUUCAAUAGCGAUGAGUUUGCUAAUGUUUGCGGAACGGAUAGGGAGUGUAGUAUAGACUGGCGAAGAAUGAAAUCUCAAGACCCAGUUUGGACUAACGGAGGCGAAGGCGACACUCUUAGAUGUAUCUUAGGAUCAAGGACGAAGGCAGGAGUAUCGAAAGUGAUUAGACACCGCUGUAGUUCCUGCAGUAAACUAUGCCGACAGCCUGUGUGUGAGAAUACGUGGGCGGGAGAAAUCUUAGUGUUCGGGCUCUGGGGAUAGUACGCUCGCAAGGGUGAAACUCAAAGCGAAAUUGACGGAAGGACACUACCAGGAGUGGAUUGUGCUGCUUAAUUUAACUCAACGCGGGAAAACUUACCAGGGUCAAGUCAUUCGUUGAUCGAAUACGUGAGAAUGGCAGGAGGGUGGAAUGG
rnacentral:rRNA from 1 species